UACGUAGGGUGCAAGCGUUGUCCGGAAUUAUUGGGCGUAAAGAGCUCGUAGGCGGUUUGUCGCGUCUGCUGUGAAAUCCCGAGGCUCAACCUCGGGUCUGCAGUCGAUACGGGCAAACUAGAGUAUUGCAGGGGAGACUGGAAUUCCUGGUGUAGCGGUGAAAUGCGCAGAUAUCAGGAGGAACACCGGUGGCGAAGGCGGGUCUCUGGGCAAUAACUGACGCUGAGGAGCGAAAGCGUGGGGAGCGAACAGG
rnacentral:rRNA from 1 species